rnacentral:rRNA from 1 species
AUUGAACGCUAGCGGCAUGCCUUACACAUGCAAGUCGAACGGCAGCACGGGGGCAACCCUGGUAGGCGAGUGGCGAACGGGUGAGUAAUGCAUCGGAACGUGCCCAUCGAUGGGGGAUAACUGCGCGAAAGCGUUGCUAAUACCGCAUACGACCUACGGGUGAAAGCAGGGGACCGCAAGGCCUUGCGUCGAUGGAGCGGCCGAUGCCGGAUUAGCUAGUUGGUGAGGUAAAGGCUCACCAAGGCGACGAUCCCGUAGCUGGUCUGAGAGGACGACCAGCCACACUGGGACUGAGACACGGCCCAGACUCCUACGGGAGGCAGCAGUGGGGAAUCUUGGACAAUGGGCGAAAGCCUGAUCCAGCAAUGCCGCGUGUGGGAAGAAGGCCUUCGGGUUGUAAACCACUUUUGGCGGGAAAGAAAUGGUCUGUGCUAAUACCACGGAUUGAUGACGGUACCCGCAGAAUAAGCACCGGCUAACUACGUG